rnacentral:rRNA from 1 species
AGAGUUUGAUCCUGGCUCAGGGUGAACGCUGGCGAUGUGCCUAAGACAUGCAAGUCGAGCGGGGCUUGUUGUUUACACAAAGCUUUUCUGUUUUUAGAUUUCUCCCUUUUUCAAGGGGAGAUGUCACGAAGUGACAGAGGGGUUUUGUGUAAAUAAUAAGUUUAGCGGCGAACGGGUGAGUAAAAAGUACAAACACGCCUCUUUGUAGGACAUAGCCCACCGAAAGGUGGAGUAAUUUCCUAUGGUAUCUACGGAUUAAAGACGCAAGUCGCAGAGAGAAUGGUGUACUAACUACCAGCUAGUUGGUGAGGUAAUGGCUCACCAAGGCGAUGACGGUUAACGGCUCUUAGCGGAGAGUCCGUCACGAUGGGACUGAGACACGGCCCAUACUUCUACGGAAGGCAGCAGUUAGGUUUUUUGCGCAAUGGACGAAAGUCUGACGCAGCGACAUCGCCUUAAGAUUAAGGCCUUCGGGUUGUAAACCUCUUUUUGGGAGCCAUGAAGCGCCCAGAAUA